rnacentral:rRNA from 1 species
GAUUAAGUUAUUAAGGGCGCACGGUGGAUGCCUUGGCACUAGAAGCCGAUGAAGGACGUUACUAACGACGAUAUGCUUUGGGGAGCUGUAAGUAAGCUUUGAUCCAGAGAUUUCCGAAUGGGGAAACCCAGCAUGAGUUAUGUCAUGUUAUCGAUAUGUGAAUACAUAGCAUAUCAGAAGGCACACCCGGAGAACUGAAACAUCUUAGUACCCGGAGGAAGAGAAAGAAAAUUCGAUUCCCUUAGUAGCGGCGAGCGAAAUGGGAAGAGCCCAAACCAACAAGCUUGCUUGUUGGGGUUGUAGGACACUCUAUACGGAGUUACAAAGGACGACAUUAGACGAAUCAUCUGGAAAGAUGAAUCAAAGAAGGUAAUAAUCCUGUAGUCGAAAAUGUUGUCUCUCUUGAGUGGAUCCUGAGUACGACGGAGCACGUGAAAUUCCGUCGGAAUCUGGGAGGACCAUCUCCUAAGGCUAAAUACUCUCUAGUGACCGAUAGUGAACCAGUACCGUGAGGGAAAGGUGAAAAGCACCCCGGAAGGGGAGUGAAAUAGAACCUGAAACCGUGUGCUUACAAGUAGUCAGAGCCCGUUAAUGGGUGAUGGCGUGCCUUUUGUAGAAUGAACCGGCGAGUUACGAUUUGAUGCAAGGUUAAGCAGUAAAUGUGGAGCCGUAGCGAAAGCGAGUCUGAAUAGGGCGUUUAGUAUUUGGUCGUAGACCCGAAACCAGGUGAUCUACCCUUGGUCAGGUUGAAGUUCAGGUAACACUGAAUGGAGGACCGAACCGACUUACGUUGAAAAGUGAGCGGAUGAACUGAGGGUAGCGGAGAAAUUCCAAUCGAACCUGGAGAUAGCUGGUUCUCUCCGAAAUAGCUUUAGGGCUAGCCUCAAGUGAUGAUUAUUGGAGGUAGAGCACUGUUUGGACGAGGGGCCCCUCUCGGGUUACCGAAUUCAGACAAACUCCGAAUGCCAAUUAAUUUAACUUGGGAGUCAGAACAUGGGUGAUAAGGUCCGUGUUCGAAAGGGAAACAGCCCAGACCACCAGCUAAGGUCCCAAAAUAUAUGUUAAGUGGAAAAGGAUGUGGCGUUGCCCAGACAACUAGGAUGUUGGCUUAGAAGCAGCCAUCAUUUAAAGAGUGCGUAAUAGCUCACUAGUCGAGUGACACUGCGCCGAAAAUGUACCGGGGCUAAACAUAUUACCGAAGCUGUGGAUUGUCCUUUGGACAAUGGUAGGAGAGCGUUCUAAGGGCGUUGAAGCAUGAUCGUAAGGACAUGUGGAGCGCUUAGAAGUGAGAAUGCCGGUGUGAGUAGCGAAAGACGGGUGAGAAUCCCGUCCACCGAUUGACUAAGGUUUCCAGAGGAAGGCUCGUCCGCUCUGGGUUAGUCGGGUCCUAAGCUGAGGCCGACAGGCGUAGGCGAUGGAUAACAGGUUGAUAUUCCUGUACCACCUAUAAUCGUUUUAAUCGAUGG